UGGGGAAUCUUGCGCAAUGCGCGAAAGCGUGACGCAGCAACGCCGCGUGGGGGAAGAAGGCCUUCGGGUUGUAAACCCCUUUCAGUUGGGACGAAGCUCCGUCGGUGAAUAGCCGGCUGGAGUGACGGUACCUUCACAAGAAGCCCCGGCUAACUACGUGCCAGCAGCCGCGGUAAUACGUAGGGGGCUAGCGUUGUCCGGAAUCAUUGGGCGUAAAGAGCGUGUAGGCGGCCCGGUAAGUCCGCUGUGAAAGUCGGGGGCUCAACCCUAGAAAGCCGGUGGAUACUGUCGGGCUAGAGUGCGGAAGAGGCGAGUGGAAUUCCUGGUGUAGCGGGGAAAUGCGCAGAUAUCAGGAGGAGCACCGAUUGCGAAGGGAGCUCGCUGGGACGUAACUGACGCUGAGACGCGAAAGCGUGGGGAGCAAACAGG
rnacentral:rRNA from 1 species